AAAGCAAGGAGGCUCUUCAAGAAAUUUUGGAACCUUUUGCAGGAGUAACAACUGAAUGUCUACAGGAAUGGAUAGAUUAUGAGCGGGUUGUGUGUAUCCGCAGCAAAUCAACUGAAAAUCACUCCUUGUCACCUGCUGAAGAGUAUUGUCUAGUCCUGGAGGAGCUAACAAAAUACAGGUACUUUUAAUAGGAAUAAUGCAU